AACGAACGCUGGCGGCAUGCCUAACACAUGCAAGUCGAACGAGACCUUCGGGUCUAGUGGCGCACGGGUGCGUAACGCGUGGGAACCUGCCCUUAGGUUCGGAAUAACUCCCCGAAAGGGGUGCUAAUACCGGAUAAUGUCUUCGGACCAAAGAUUUAUCGCCUUUGGAUGGGCCCGCGUUGGAUUAGCUAGUUGGUAGGGUAAAAGCCUACCAAGGCGACGAUCCAUAGCUGGUCUGAGAGGAUGAUCAGCCACACUGGGACUGAGACACGGCCCAGACUCCUACGGGAGGCAGCAGUGGGGAAUAUUGGACAAUGGGCGAAAGCCUGAUCCAGCAAGGCCGCGUGAGUGAUGAAGGCCUUAGGGUUGUAAAGCUCUUCUACCCGGGAUGAUAAUGACAGUACCGGGAGAAUAAGCUCCGGCUAACUCCGU
rnacentral:rRNA from 1 species